UUGAAAGGGAAACGAUUGAAGUCAGUCGUGCAGUCAUCAACUCAACGGGUAUCGUGAGUAAUUUAUUGCUUACGUUUCCGUGUACUUUGUUGUCUGCUGGUUAGCAUCAAUUUUGAUUGUCAUAAAAAGGUUAAGGGGAUGUGGCUCCUUCGGGAGUGUUAUAACCCUUAACGUAAUGUGGCGAUUGGGAUUGAGGAUUGCAACGAAUACCUUUAGGGCAGUUCCGUCUGGUCUCUUGUUGGCGUUCAGAUGGCAACAGCUUGCUUUUGUUGUUUGAAUAGUUAACAAAUAGAUUGGAAAGUGAAUUAAUUCGUUAAGGAUGUUGACGUA
rnacentral:rRNA from 1 species